rnacentral:rRNA from 1 species
UACGGGGGGAGCAAGCGUUGUUCGGAUUUACUGGGCGUAAAGGGCGCGUAGGCGGUCGUGACAAGUCACUUGUGAAAUCUCCGGGCUUAACUCGGAACGGUCAAGUGAUACUGUCGGACUAGAGUACAGAAGGGGCAACUGGAAUUCUCGGUGUAGCGGUGAAAUGCGUAGAGAUCGGGAGGAACACCAGCGGCGAAGGCGGCUUACUGGACAGUUACUGACACUCAACUACGAAAGCGUGGGGAGCAAACAGG